rnacentral:rRNA from 1 species
AAAUUGAAGAGUUUGAUCAUGGCUCAGAUUGAACGCUGGCGGCAUGCCUAACACAUGCAAGUCGAACGGUAGCAGGUCUAGCUUGCUAGAUGCUGACGAGUGGCGGACGGGUGAGGAAUGCAUAGGAAUCUGCCUAGUAGUGGGGGAUAACUUAGGGAAACUUAAGCUAAUACCGCAUAAGUCCUACGGGGGAAAGUGGGGGAUCGCAAGACCUCACGCUAUUAGAUGAGCCUAUGCCGGAUUAGCUAGUUGGUAGGGUAAAGGCCUACCAAGGCGACGAUCCGUAGCUGGUCUGAGAGGACGACCAGCCACACUGGGACUGAGACACGGCCCAGACUCCUACGGGAGGCAGCAGUGGGGAAUAUUGGACAAUGGGGGCAACCCUGAUCCAGCAAUGCCGCGUGUGUGAAGAAGGCCUUAGGGUUGUAAAGCACUUUCAGUAG